rnacentral:rRNA from 1 species
UACGUAGGGGGCAAGCGUUGUCCGGAAUCAUUGGGCGUAAAGAGCGUGUAGGCGGCUCGGUAAGUCCGCUCUGAAAGCCCUGGGCUCAACCCGGGAACUGCUUUUGAAACUGCCGAGCUAGAGUGCGGAAGGGGCAACUGGAAUUCCCAGUGUAGCGGUGAAAUGCGUAGAUAUUGGGAAGAACACCUGAGGCGAAGGCGGGUUGCUGGGCCGACACUGACGCUGAUGCGCGAAAGCCAGGGGAGCGAACGGG